rnacentral:pre_miRNA from 1 species
UAUUAUUAUUAUCCGUGCUGAGAUUUCGUCACACACCAGACCACAAGGGCUGAUAAUAUUCCCAAGAUAAGUGAAGUG